UACGGAGGGUGCAAGCGUUAUCCGGAUUCACUGGGUUUAAAGGGUGCGUAGGUGGGAAUGAAAGUCAGUGGUGAAAUCUCCGAGCUUAACUCGGAAACUGCCAUUGAUACUUUGUUUCUUGAAUUAUCUGGAGGUCAGCGGAAUAUGUCAUGUAGCGGUGAAAUGCUUAGAUAUGACAUAGAACACCAAUUGCGAAGGCAGCUGACUACGGGUUGAUUGACACUGAGGCACGAAAGCGUGGGGAUCAAACAGG
rnacentral:rRNA from 1 species